GAAACCGAGUCUUAACCGGGCGUUAAGUUGCAGGGUAUAGACCCGAAACCCGGUGAUCUAGCCAUGGGCAGGUUGAAGGUUGGGUAACACUAACUGGAGGACCGAACCGACUAAUGUUGAAAAAUUAGCGGAUGACCUGUGGCUGGGGGUGAAAGGCCAAUCAAACCGGGAGAUAGCUGGUUCUCCCCGAAAGCUAUUUAGGUAGCGCCUCGUGAAUUCAUCUCCGGGGGUAGAGCACUGUUUCGGCUAGGGGGCCAUCCCGGCUUACCAACCCGAUGCAAACUGCGAAUACCGGAGAAUGUUAUCACGGGAGACACACGGCGGGUGCUAACGUCCGUCGUGAAGAGGGAAACAACCCAGACCGCCAGCUAAGGUCCCAAAGUCAUGGUUAAGUGGGAAACGAUGUGGGAAGGCCCAGACAGCCAGGAUGUUGGCUUAGAAGCAGCCAUCAUUUAAAGAAAGCGUAAUAGCUCACUGGUCGAGUCGGCCUGCGCGGAAGAUGUAACGGGGCUAAACCAUGCACCGAAGCU
rnacentral:rRNA from 1 species